rnacentral:rRNA from 1 species
GUCUAUGGCCAUGCCACCCUGAACAAGCUCGAAGUCUGAUCUUGGAAGCUAAGCAGGGUCAGACCUGGUUAGUCCUUGGAUGGGAGACCACCUAGGAAGACCAGGUGCUGUAGGCA